UUUCUUGCCCAAGGACACAACGACCGAGACUAUCCAAGCCAGGGCUCGAACCAGCAACCUUCAGAUUACAAGACGAACUGCCAACUCUUGAGCCACGAUCGCCUCAUAAUAAAUCAAAAUGUGCUCAUAUACCUUGAGUCACAGGCUGAAAAGCUUCUGAUGAAGAAGCUGCUAAAGAUGAGGCUCCUAACACUGCAGAAUGCAAUGCAGUGUUAGAAUCGAUGAAAUGAACAAAAAAGAGGAAGCUGCCAGUUGUUUACAGGAGGAGAAGAGUCUGGUGGAGCAGCAGAUGAACAAUUUCAGCCAUUUGGACUCAGCUCAGCCACUACAGAGGAAACAAUGACUUCAACACAAAAGGACCAACAUGGAGUGAGAAGUCAGCGCUUUCAG